GCACAGGGAUGCAGGAAUGCACGGAAGGAGUCAGGAGAACUGGCCUGGCCAGUAACUGGCGACAGGCUCAGUGUACAGCGCUUUCUAAUGAGGUUGUGGGUGGCUCUGAAAAGAGCCUUUGGUGUCUGUAAAAGUCGCACUAACGACCGGUAGGGGCCUCACUUGCCCUUGGCCUUGUGGUGGCUCUCGGUCUUCUUGGGCAGUAGCACGGCCUGGAUGUUGGGCAGGACGCCGCCCUGCGCGAUGGUCACGCGGCCCAGCAGCUUGUUGAGCUCCUCGUCGUUGCGGAUGGCCAACUGCAGGUGGCGCGGGAUGAUUCGCGUCUUCUUAUUGUCGCGGGCCGCAUUACCAGCCAAUUCCAGGAUCUCAGCAGUCAGAUAUUCUAGCACAGCCGCCAGGUACACCGGGGCACCAGCGCCGACCCGCUCCGAAUAAUUACCCUUACGGAGAAGGCGGUGCACACGGCCCACUGGAAACUGCAGGCCGGCACGGGAAGAACGAGACUUCGCUUUUGCACGAGCUUUGCCGCCCUGCUUGCCACGACCAGACAUCUUCCACUGAUAACCAAAAGUACGCAAAAACAGAAAAGAAACCUAGCGAAAACGAAUUCGUAAGCGCCAGCAAGCUCUUAUAUAUGAUCAGGAGGGAGGCUAGACUGCACCUUCCUAUUGGAUGCCAACAAGAACCAAUCAGAAAAGAACGCGGAGCCUUCCUAAUUUGCAUAUGCCUUACCCCGCGAUGACGUAAUGUAAAAUUGUAUUCAAUC
rnacentral:lncRNA from 1 species